rnacentral:rRNA from 1 species
CCUGCAGUCGACGGUAGCACAGAGAGCUUGCUCUCGGGUGACGAGUGGCGGACGGGUGAGUAAUGUCUGGGAAACUGCCUGAUGGAGGGGGAUAACUACUGGAAACGGUAGCUAAUACCGCAUAACGUCGCAAGACCAAAGAGGGGGACCUUCGGGCCUCUUGCCAUCAGAUGUGCCCAGAUGGGAUUAGCUAGUAGGUGGGGUAACGGCUCACCUAGGCGACGAUCCCUAGCUGGUCUGAGAGGAUGACCAGCCACACUGGAACUGAGACACGGUCCAGACUCCUACGGGAGGCAGCAGUGGGGAAUAUUGCACAAUGGGCGCAAGCCUGAUGCAGCCAUGCCGCGUGUAUGAAGAAGGCCUUCGGGUUGUAAAGUACUUUCAGCGGGGAGGAAGGCGAUAAGGUUAAUAACCUUGUCGAUUGACGUUACCCGCAGAAGAAGCACCGGCUAACUCCGUGCCAGCAGCCGCGGUAAUACGGAGGGUGCAAGCGUUAAUCGGAAUUACUGGGCGUAAAGCGCACGCAGGCGGUCUGUCAAGUCGGAUGUGAAAUCCCCGGGCUCAACCUGGGAACUGCAUUCGAAACUGGCAGGCUGGAGUCUUGUAGAGGGGGGUAGAAUUCCAGGUGUAGCGGUGAAAUGCGUAGAGAUCUGGAGGAAUACCGGUGGCGAAGGCGGCCC